AACGAACGCUGGCGGCAGGCCUAACACAUGCAAGUCGAGCGAACCCUUCGGGGUUAGCGGCGGACGGGUUAGUAACGCGUGGGAAUAUACCCUUUGGUACGGAAUAGCCUCGGGAAACUGAGAGUAAUACCGUAUGUGCCCUUCGGGGGAAAGAUUUAUCGCCAAAGGAUUAGCCCGCGUUGGAUUAGAUAGUUGGUGGGGUAAUGGCCUACCAAGUCUACGAUCCAUAGCUGGUUUGAGAGGAUGAUCAGCAACACUGGGACUGAGACACGGCCCAGACUCCUACGGGAGGCAGCAGUGGGGAAUCUUAGACAAUGGGCGCAAGCCUGAUCUAGCCAUGCCGCGUGGACGAUGAAGGCCUUAGGGUUGUAAAGUCCUUUCAGAUGGGAAGAUAAUGACGGUACCAUCAGAAGAAGCCCCGGCUAACUCCGUGCCAGCAGCCGCGGUAAAGUACAGUGU
rnacentral:rRNA from 1 species